CCUACGGGAGGCAGCAGUGAGGAAUAUUGGUCAAUGGCCGAGAGGCUGAACCAGCCAAGUCGCGUGAGGGAAGACGGCCCUACGGGUUGUAAACCUCUUUUGUCGGGGAGCAAAGCGAGUCACGUGUGACUCAUUGAGAGUACCCGAAGAAAAAGCAUCGGCUAACUCCGUGCCAGCAGCCGCGGUAAUACGGAGGAUGCGAGCGUUAUCCGGAUUUAUUGGGUUUAAAGGGUGCGCAGGCGGAGGUGCAAGUCAGCGGUCAAAUUGCGGGGCUCAACCCCGUACUGCCGUUGAAACUACAUCCCGUGAGUGCGGGAGAAGUAUGCGGAAUGCGUGGUGUAGCGGUGAAAUGCAUAGAUAUCACGCAGAACUCCGAGUGCGAAGGCAGCAUACCGGCGCGCAACUGACGCUCAUGCACGAAAGCGUGGGUAUCGAACAGGAUUAGAUACCCCUGUAGUC
rnacentral:rRNA from 1 species